rnacentral:tRNA from 1 species
UCUAGAUGGGCAUUAUUGCCCCAUCAACA